rnacentral:rRNA from 1 species
UACGGGGGGAGCAAACGUUGUUCGGAAUCACUGGGCGUAAAGGGCGUGUAGGCGGCUGGAUAAGUGGGAUGUUAAAUCCCCCGGCUCAACCGGGGACCUGCAUCUCAUACUGUUCAGCUCGAGCACAUCAGAGGAGACUGGAAUUCCCGGUGUAGCGGUGAAAUGCGUAGAUAUCAGGAGGAACACCGAUGGCGAAGGCAGCUCGCUGGGACGGUACUGACGCUGAGACGCGAAAGCGUGGGGAGCGAACAGG